rnacentral:rRNA from 1 species
UACGUAGGGUGCGAGCGUUGUCCGGAAUUAUUGGGCGUAAAGAGCUCGUAGGCGGUCUGUCGCGUCGAAUGUGAAAACCCGGGGCUCAACUCCGGGCUUGCAUUCGAUACGGGCAGGCUAGAGUUCGGUAGGGGAGUCUGGAAUUCCUGGUGUAGCGGUGAAAUGCGCAGAUAUCAGGAGGAACACCGGUGGCGAAGGCGGGACUCUGGGCCGAUACUGGCGCUGAGGAGCGAAAGCGUGGGGAGCGAACAGG